rfam:Microvirga lotononidis strain WSM3557 genomic scaffold Micloscaffold_15, whole genome shotgun sequence.
CUAGGGGUCCGGGACCCUCUGGCGGGCGGGUCGCCGCUCGCGAUGUCGGACACCUCAU